ACAGCAGUCGCCGCGGUAAUACGGAGGAUCCAAGCGUUAUUCGGAAUCAUUGGGUUUAAAGGGUCCGUAGGCGGUCUUGUAAGUCAGUGGUGAAAGCCCAUCGCUCAACGGUGGAACGGCCAUUGAUACUGCAGGACUUGAAUUAUUGGGAAGUAACUAGAAUAUGUAGUGUAGCGGUGAAAUGCUUAGAGAUUACAUGGAAUACCAAUUGCGAAGGCAGGUUACUACCAAUUGAUUGACGCUGAUGGACGAAAGCGUGGGUAGCGAACAGGAUUAGAUACCCGUGUAGUCCCUGUCUCUUAUAC
rnacentral:rRNA from 1 species